rnacentral:lncRNA from 1 species
CAUAGGUGUCGACUAAGGCUGCUGCAGGACUGUCACGGUUAGCGAAAAUAGCAUCGUGGUCUUUGAGGACUUCUUUGGCAAUUGAAGGUGAACUUAUAACUAUCCAAAUCUUCCUUCCGAGCUGAAGUUUGAUGAUGGGGCCAUAGAUUUGAGAGAGUUUAGUAGCGUAUUGAUGGAAAUCAGGUUGGAUGAAAGGAAGGUUUCCUAAUAUAGGCAAGCCUGGAGGACCCGGUGAAAGAGGCAGCUUUGUUUUGGUGAUGACUUUCUGAGGCCACCAUGCAAAACAGACAAUUCCCAGGGCGGUUGCCAAUGCAGCGGGUCCGUUGCAGGGCCAUGACCCUCCCUCACAGGCAAGAACAGGAGCUACAACCUUGUCAUAAAAGUUCGACGUCAUUGGGUUUCUGCUUCAAAGAUAGUAAGCAGAAGACAUAGACUUAUGCAGUUCUUCCCAAAGUGUUUUUCCACGGGCUUAACGUAACGUGCUAGAAAAAGGAUACCCAAGGGAGAAGAAAAAGUCAGAUUUCUACUCUAAUUUAGUUCGUCUCCUGUUCAUAUUGUUGAAUAUUGUUCCUCGAAAUCAUCUGUUAGAUUCGGUAAUUCGUAGAUAUAUAUAUUUAUAUAGUGUUUUAUAUAAAAAUUAUUUAUUAUAAUUUGUUUGAAUAAAAAAUAAAAAUAUAAUUUUUCAAUUUUAUUAAUUUUAUAUAUAAUUUUAUUACAAUUUUAAAUUAUAUUAUUUUUUUUAUAUUGUUUCACCGUUUCAAAUUUUAAAUUAUCAUAUUUAUUAUCACUACAACUGAUUCUGUGUAUAUAUAUAUAUAUAUAUAUAUAUAUAUUAUAUUUUGCUUUAGAACCACUACUGAAGCAUCUAAUGCUAAUGAGCCAUGGCUUACUAAUCAUCAUCAUUGAUUUACUCUUUCUUUUUUUUUAUGAGCUUAUAUUAUGCUUUUUAAAAUAAUAAUAAGGUUAAAAAUAGUAAUAAAAAUAAAAUUAAUUAUUAUAUUGAUGAAAUUGAUUAUUAUAAUAAGAAAAUUAAAAUUAAUAAUGAUUAUAUUAAAUUUAAAUAUAAAAAUAUUUAGUAUGUAAGGAAAUUAUAGUUAGGAAGAUAAAAUUAUCAUAAAGUAUCAUGAAAAAAUUAUAUAUAUUAAAAAUUAAUUAUUUAAAAUAUUUAUAAAAUUAAUAAAAUUAUUAAAAUUUAUUAAAUUUAUUUCUGAUAUUAAAUUAAUAAAAUUUUUCAAAUUUUUAAAUUUAAAGAAGACGAAAAGAAAAAAAUAAAAAUAAGUUAAAAGGGACAUUUAUUGUUUAUAAAUAAUUUAAAGGGAUACAAAAAAGGAAAAAAUAAAAAUCUCAGAUCUUCAAUCGUCUUGUUGACAAGUGAGACUAAACAAAUUUUACGGUGGCUUUUGAGAUUGCAAUUCGCACCUCAUUCGUGAUACGGUUGCAUCCACGGUUAGAGUUUUUUUUGAGAAAAUUUUUAGAAAUUUUUCAGAAUCUUGACAAAAUUUUUCGUCGAACUUUGAAUUUUCAGAUGAGUUUUCGACCAACUUUGAAGUUUUUGGUGUCUUUUCCAAAUUCGUGUAGAAUAUUCAAUCGAAAUCUGGGAUUGUUUUUAGAGAGAAAGAGGAGAAAAAAAGAGAAGAGAGAGAAAAAAAAAGGAAAAUCUAAAAAAAAUCGAGUUUUAGUCUUAUAUACCCUCUCCCAAAACGAUAUCAUUUUUGUUUACUAAACACACAAGAUUAAAUGCUAUGUCAAGAUCCGACUCGACUCGUAGCGCCACCUGCGAUCCAGCAAACCCACUUCUCCGUCUAAGUCGAGCCAAACUGUUUUCCUGUCGAGUCACACAUCUUGAGCCAUCAGUCUUCUUGAGCCUCGCUGCAUUAAAGCCGAGCCUUCUAAAGAUUAUUUUUUCUUUUUUUUUUCUUAUUAUUAUUAUUAUUAUUAUUAUUUUAUUAUUUAUUGAUUAGAUAGAAUAAUUUGGGUAUUCCUUAUUUUUAUUUUUAUUUUAUUACUAUUUUUAUUUUUAAUGAUUUUCUUAAAAAAAAUUCUAAAAAAAAAUAUUUUGAGGAAAGUUGAAAGUAUCAAUUUUCCUUAAAAAUAAGCUUCUAAAAAAUAUUUUCGAGGAAAAGGUAAAAGUAUCAAUUUUCCUUCAAAAUAAAAUUUUUAAAAAAAUAUUUUUGAAGAAAAGUUGAAAGUAUCAAUUUUUUUUAAAAAUAAAUUUUUUUAAAAAAUAUUUUUGAGAAAAAGUUGAAAGUAUCAAUUUUUCUCAAAAUUAAAGUUUCAGAAAAAUAUUUUGAAGAAAAGUUGAAAGUAUCAAUUUUUUUUGCACAAAAGCAGUGAAUUUUUUAAAAGAAAAUGAUUUAUAUCUAAAGCUGAAUCAUAAUUUUUUUUCAUUUUAUUUCUUUUCCUUUUUGAAUUUUUUUUAAUAUUAAAUAAUCCGAUGAUAGAGCCUCUGCAAGUGAAACUGUAGUUUCCUUGCAUACUCUUGAGGUGAGAAAGUUUUCUCAAUUUUCUACUAAAAGUAUUAUAGUCAAUUGAAAAUAAUUUUUAAUAAUUAAUUACUUGAUAAAUUUUUAAGGCUUAUUAAUAACACAAAAUUAAGCUGGUACCAUCUUUCGAUGGACGUUGUGAGGGUGCUAUAACCUUCCUUAUACGUAACCUACUCCCGAACCCUAUUCUGGAUAGUAGACCUGAACCUAUUCUUUUAGUGACCCUUAGGCUUAGGUGUUCUUUAAAAGGAUAGAUUCCUUAAGUGGUUUAUCGCACCUAGAUAAAAAAGAAUGGUGACAACUCCUCAAGUCAAUGUCUAGCGAUGGAUCCCCGGAUCUAGACGUUAUGACACUUUUAAUAACAUAAAUGUAAAAUUAUGAUUUUAUUAGUGUAAAAAAUAUUAAAAUUAACAGUAAUUAAUUUGAUCAAAAUAAAAUUAGCUAUUGUCAAUCCUUUAUCAAGUUUAUUCACAAACAAUUAUCAAAUAAUUUUGAAUAUAAACAAGUCAGUUUGUCUAUGUUCAAAUUAGGUUUAUUAUUAAUUGAGUUUAAAAAUAUUGUCUAAAUAAGUUUAUUAAAUUUCACAAAUAAAUGCAAACAAGCUUUUGUAUAAUACCAAAAAAUAAAGAAAAAGAAACGAGUUGUUAUAUAAUCAACUUCUUUGUUGAAAGAAAUUUGAUGAUCUUGAAAUUGAAACGAUGGUAAAUUGAUCAAGGUUUUUAUUAUGUGCUCGAAGAUGUGGGUUGAUUCUAAUUUAAGACGACCUUCUAACGUUAUUUGAUUUGAUGAAAAUUUUUGACAAUAUAAAAAUUUUCACUUUUGGAUCAUUGUGAUCAAAUUUUAAGAUACCACUUGAUCCAAACGCAUUAUUAUCAAAAUAAAUGGUUCUUUGAUCUCACUAAAUAUUUUCUAAUUUGGUAAGGUGACUUUAGCAAACUGGCUUUGAUAUCGAAUAAUGUGUAUAUAUAAAGGAAAAGUUAAAUUAUGCCACUAGUUCCUAUACUAUACACAAAAUACAAAUUUACUUCUUAUACAUUAAUUUCAAUAUGACAAGUAUCUCUACUUUUUGUGAUUUUAAAUUUUCAUCCAAUCAAUAACAGUUGUUUUUUUUUUCGUUAUAAGUUGAUAACAUGUCACAUUAACCAAGUGAGGUGGCAUAGACCCAAUGAUGUAGGUUAAAAGAUUUAUGAAUGGCCUAAUUUUUGCCGCUGUGGAAUUUUCAUGUAUUUUUUCUUUAUUUUUUUGUUUCUUCCUUUUUAUUUUUCGUCUUUUUCUCUCUAAGCAUUACUCUUUUUACCUCUUAAGCACUCAUGAACGUAAACAACCACCCACCAACAACUAUAGAAUUUGAUGCUGGACCCCCGAAUGUCGUCAUCAACAUCGCCAUUUGUCGUCAUCAGCAUCGCCAUUUGUCGUCAUCAGCAUCGCCAUUUGUCGUCAUCAUCAUGUCGAAAAUACCCUAAAAGCUACCCAAAAAUUUCUCUUGACCUUUCAUAGCUUUUUGCUGACUUUAGAUUUGCCAAAAAAACCCCCAAUAAAGCCUAGAUCUAAAGCCUAACACUCUGGCUCCUCUACCCAAAAAUACCCAUUUACGCUACUAAAAAAGGCUUAAGUUUUUACUAUGUUUGUUUGCUCCAAAUUUUCUCAACCAGCUCAGCCAAGCUCACUGGCAAAAUCUCAAAUUUCAUCGAAUGUAAAAACAUGUACAAAAUCAAACUCUAAGGUAAAUUUAUAAACGAAAGUAUCUCCUAGGACAUUGAUCAUUGUGAAAAUCUCUUGUAUUUGAACUGAAACGAUAAUUUGUUUACUAGAAUAAUUUCAUGGGAAAUAUUGAUGCUUCAUUCAAUAAUUGUUGUUAAUCUUUCUCAUAAUUUGCUCACUAGAACCACCCCUUUCGAACUUCAAAAAUUGUAGCACUUCAAAAUUUUUCAAUGUUUCCUACAAAAUUCACUAACCCAGUAUUGUUAUUGGGUGUGGUUGUUUUAUUGAUUUUGAUUAUCUUGAUAUGUUUAUGUAGAAUGAAGAGUGGUAGGAAAGUGGAGACAAGGGAUAGCAAAACAAGUUGAAGAUGAAAUUCUUGGAGAUAAGACAAUAAAGGAAAGUAAUAAUAAGAGUAGUGGGUUAUUUAGGAUUGGUGUUUAGAGAGAGUUUAAAUUUUAGAUUGGAUCUUGUUUAUUUCAAAGAAAAAGAGAUUGUUAAGGUAGAUUUUUAGAGAAAUAAACGUCAAUUACUAGAAUUAAAAGUCACACAAUUUUUUUAAUUGCCUGAAACUAAGUUUAGAGAGAUAGGUUGUUAAAGUAAGUUUGUAGAGAGAAAUAAAAAAUGGUUUUGUUAGUGAAAAUUAUAUGACUUGGAAUUCCACAUCAGUAAAAUACCCAUUUAUCAAUCUUUUAAUCCAUAUCAUCGAGUCAAUGUCACCUCACUUGAUCAACAGAAUAUUUCAUCGAUUUUGAAAGAGAAACUAAACCACCGUUGCUGAUUGAACAAAAAUUUAAAAUCACAAAAGUUACAAAUACGUCUCCUAUUGAAAUUAAUGUAUAGUAUAAGGAUUAAUAGUAUCAUUUAACCAAAAGAAAAAAGUGUGAAAAAUUUUAAAAGAAAACUUGACCUUUGAAUUUUAUUUUAUUUUUUAUGAAAUUCAACAUACAUUUUCUAAAUAAGAGUUGGCCUUUAUAAAAGCAACUUGUUUCUAAGAUAUUUAUAUAUAUAAAAAAAGAUAAUAUCUUAUAGAAAUAACAAAUGAAAAAAAGGACAAAGAUAAAAUUAAAUAAUCUUUCCUAGAUAAACAUUACUUGAUAAUAACUAAUCCUAAAUAUAUAAAUAAAAUAAUUAUUUAGAGAUAAAAUAUUCAUUUAUUCUCUCCAAAUAUUAGAGAUACGAUAGUAGACUUGAAAUUUUUAUCAUAUCCCUGCAUCAAUUAAUUUAAUUAGUUCAUACGAUAAAUGAUAGAUCAUUUAUAUGACACGCAUAGAGUCAUUAACAAUAAGGUCAAUAUUUUUAUUUAAAAAUUUGACAUAAUUUAAUUUAAGGUUAAUAUUACAAAUAAUUUUUAAAUUAUAAUAAAAUAUUUAAUGUGAUAUUUGAAUUUAAAUUUUUUUAAUAUAAUGUUUGAAUUAUAAAUUUAUUAAUUAAGUUUAUUUUUAUAUAAUUAUUAAAAUUAUUAGUAUUUUUUAGUAAAUAUUUAUUAUUAUACUUGUAACAAAUAAAAAAAAUUUAUCUAUUUUUUUGUAAUUUUUUUAAAAAAUUAUUUUGAUGACUGCAUUAAUGAUUUUUUGACAAAAAAAUCAUUUUAUUAUGAUUAAUAUAUAUUUUUAAAAUUUAAAAAUCAAAAUAAUAUUCAUUUUAAAAAUUAAACACUAUAGAAGUAAUUUACUCUUUAAAUUUUAAGUAAUUGAGAUAAUUGUAGUAGGUAAUAACGAUGGGUCUUUAUUUUAAUUUUCUUCAUGACUUUUGAGAUUAAUGUACAAUAAUGCUAGUUGGUAUGAUGGGACAAUAAAUAAAUACGUAACAAUGAUUUUUCCUUUUUAAAGUGAAACAAUAAUAUACUUUUUCAAAGUGAGAUAAGGAUGAUCGUUUAAAAAAAAAAGUGAAGUCAUUAUAUUUUUUUCAAAAUGUAAAAUGAAAAUGAGGUAAUAAUGAUAUGUACAAUAAUCAAAGAAAACCUUCUUCAUUGUAAAUCAAAAUACUUGAACAAAACAUUAUAUCUUUAAUUUGCAUAAAUUUUAAAGAUUAUGUCCUUAAUUAAUCUAUAUAUGAUAUAUUAUUGAAAAGUUAUACAAUAAAUUCAAAGUUGAUAAAUAAUAUUUAGACGAGCAUCUAUAAUUUAUUUUUGAAAAAACAUUAAGAUGCAUAUAACAUUUAUUUAUUUAUUUAAAAUUUUUUAACAUCUAAUAAUUAUUUUAAAUUUCGAAUAAUUCAAAAUCUAAUAAAAUACAUAUCAUAUAAUCUCUGCUUGCGAUUGUUUUCUCCAUUUAUUGAUAUGGCAAUGAAUUGGAUAGUCGUGCAGUGAGGAUGGCAACAAGUCGUUCCACUCUCGAUAAGACUAUUCCAAGUUUGUCCUUUAUAUCAGGCAUUACUCCAUUAGGCAAUUCCCGUUCAAAGGAAUGCAGCAAGGCAGCCAACCUGCGAUUGUUUUCUCCAUUUAUUGAUAUGACAAUGAAUUGGAUAGUCGUGCAGUGGGGAUGACAACAAGUGGUUCCACUCUCGAUAAGACUAUUCCAAGUUUGUCUUUAUAUCAGGCAUUACUCCGUUAGGCAAUUCCCAUUCAAAGGAAUGCAGCAAGGCAGCCAACAAGUGCGUUACCAUUUUUUCUGCUAGAGGAAUUCCAACACAAAUUCUCCUCCCAGACCCAAAUGGGAAAAAACGAAAAUCAUUACCUAGAUAACUGGCUUUCUCAGUUUCUUUCAAGAAUCUCUCAGGCUCAAAACGAAGAGGAUGUUCCCAAAACUCAGGGUCCCUCUGUAUUGCCCAUGCAUUAAAUAUGAUUGUCGAAUGUUUAGGGAUGGUAUAUCCGGAAACAAUGCAAGUGGUGGCAGGCAUGUGAGGCACGAGCAAGGGAGCAGCUGGAUGGAUUCGGAGUGUCUCCUUUACUACUGCUUCCAAGUAAAGCAAUCGAGGAAGAUGAGACUCUUCCACAAUGUUUUGCUUUCCAACCACCUUCUCUAAUUCCUCAAUGACUCUGUUCAUUUUAUCUGGAUGCCGCAAUAAUUCGGUCAUUGCCCACUCCACUGUAGCAGAUGUUGUAUCCGAACCGCCGAUAAUCAUAUCCUACCCACAAAUUCAGAGAUAUCGGAGAAUAUCGUCAUUUUCAGAACCAUUUAAGAUAAUCCCAAUUAAUUAUAAUAAACCAGUCAAUUGAUUAUAGUCUCAAAUUUUGUAGAUAGGCAUGGAUCCUAAUCUUGCAUUGGAUCCCUAUCAUAAACAUAUAUAAUUGCGUAUAGGACCUUUAUGUGUAGCAUUUUUUGUUUAUAGAAAGGAGAACUCAAAUAAAAUUGAAAAUUUGAAAUAUAACAAAAUAAAAAAGAAAAUUUUAAAUAUUUUUAAUUUCUAUUUAAAUAAAAGUUUACUUUUAAUUUGUACUUAAAUAAACUUUUAACAUAAAUCAAUCAUUGUUUGAAUGCAAAAUAAAAAAUAAAAAAUUAUUUAAAAAAUAAAUAUUUCAGAAAAUUUUUAUUAUCUUUGAUUUAUUAAAUCGUAAGCAUAUAAAAAUAUAUACUUACCGCAGGAAGGUGAGGACCAAUUAGAUGUUGACAAAGAAAAAAAAAUUGUUAAAGAAAUGAGGGGAUAGGGUAUGUAAGUUGGUGGACAUUACCAGAAGCAAAGCCUUCAUCUCUUUCAUGGAUAAUGAGGUUUUAUCAUCUCCUCUCUGGUUCAGCUCCAAUAACUGCUCCAAAAAAUCCUUGCUUCCUUCCUUCUUCUUUCCCUUUGUUCGGUGUACUAUCACUGAUUCAAAAAUCCCAUAAAACCAAGACAAGUGCUUCUUCGUUUUGGACUUAAUUCCUUGUAAAUCGAAUGCGGCAAGAACAGGAAAAAGAUCUGAAACGUUAGGUGCUCCUAUCAAUUCUACAAAUUCCUCCAAUCGUUUCCUAAACUCAAUCCCAAGCCUGCUUCUUUCCUCUCCAUUCAAUGAAUCACCCCAUAGCAUGCUUAUCAUGACACUUAUAGUGGUUAGAAAUAUUUGUUCACUAAGGUCAAAGGAUGAACCAACCUUUCCAUAAAUAUCCUUGAUCAUCUGUCGAAUCUCACGUCGACGAAGCGCAUAGCAUGCAUCAAGGCUCUUGUUGCUCAUAAUUUCACGAACAACUAGCUUACGCAGCUUGUGCAAUUCGGGGCCAUUAGAUCUCCAUACGAUGUCAAAUCCACCAUAGGUGUCCACUAAGGCUGCUGCAGGAGUGUCACGGUUAGCGAAAAUAACAUCGUGGUCUUUGAGGACUUCUUUGGCAAUUGAAGGUGAACUUACAACUAUCCAAAUCUUCCUUCCGAGCUGAAGUUUGAUGAUGGGCCCAUAGAUUUGAGAGAGUUUAGUAGCGUAUUGAUGGAAAUCAGGUUGGAUAAAAGGAAGGUUUCCUAAUAUAGGCAAGCCUGGAGGACCUGGUGGAAGAGGCAGCUUUGUUUUGGUGAUGACUUUCUGAGCCCACCAUGCAAAACAGACAAUUGCCAGGGCGGUUGCCAAUGCAGCGGGUCCGUUGCAGGGCCACGACCCUUCCUCACAGGCAAGAACAGGAACUACAAGCUUGUCAUAAAAGUUCGACAUCAUUGAGUUUCGGUUUCAAAGAUAGAAAGCAGAAGACAUAGACUUAUGUAGCUCUUCCCAACGUGUUUUUCCAAGGGCUUAACGUAACGUGCUAGAAAAAGGAUCCCCAAGGGAGAACAAAAAGUCAGAUUUCUACUCUAAUUUAGUUCGUCUUCUGUUCAUAUUGUUGAAUAUUGUUCCUCGAAAUCAUCUGUUAGAUUCGGUAAUUCGUAGAUAUAUAUAUAUAUUUAUAUAGUGUUUUAUAUAAAAAUUAUUUAUUAUAAUUUGUUUGAAUACAAAAAUAAAAAUAUAAUUUUUUUAAUAUUUUUUUUAAUUUUAUAUAUAAUUUUAUUAUAAUUUUAAAUUAUAUUAUUUUUUAUAAUAUUUCAUUGUUUCAAAUUUCAAAUUAUCAUAUUUAUUAGCAAUGCAACCGAUUAUAUAUAUAUAUAUAUAUAUAUAUAUAUAUUGCUUUAGAACUACUACUGAAGCAUCUAAUGCUAAUGAGCCAUGGCUUAUUAAACAUCAUCAUUGACUUACUUUUUUUUUUUUUUUUAUGAGCUUAUAUUAUGCUUUUUAAAAUAAUAAUAAGAUUAAAAAUAGUAAUAAAAAUAAAAUUAAUUAUUAUAUUGAUGAAAUUGAUUAUUAUAAUAAGAAAAUUAAAAUUAAUAAUGAGAUAUAAAUUUAAAUAUAAAAAUAUUAGUGAUAGUAAGGUAAAUUAUAGUUAGAAGAUAAAAUUAUCAUUAAAGUAUCGGAUAAAAAAUUAUAUAUAUUAAAAGUUUUAAAUUAUUUAAUAUUUAUAAAAUUAAUAAAUUAUUAAAAAUUAUUAAAUUUAUUUCUUAUAUUAAAUUAAUAAAAUUUUUUCAUAAUUUUUAAAUAAAGAAAGGAAAAUGAAAAAAAAUAAAAAUUAAGUUAAAAUGGUCAUUAUUGUUUUUAUAAUAAUAUUUAAAGGAUACCAAAAAGAGAAAAUAAAAUCUGUAGCAUGGUUCAAUCGUCUUGUUGACUUGAGACCCAAACGAAUUUACGGUGGCUUUUGAGAUGCAAUCGCACCUCAUCGUGAGUACGGUUGCAUCCACGAUUAGCCUUAAAAAUUAAGAUAAGACCCUAAAGAGUUUUAAAAAUUAACGUAAGACUCGAAAGUAUCAACUCCCAAGUCGCACAUGCGAUGAAGGAUUUGAUGAAAGAAAAGAAGAUCAAGUUAAUGAAUUAUGUUUAAAAAUUAUGUUUCAUGCGUGUAAUAAAAUAAAUUUUUGAAACACGAACAUAAUAUGAAUUAUGAAAUAUAUUUAAAUUUUAAAUAUGAAUACUAUAUAUUUAUUAUAUUUAUUAUAUAAAAUAUGACAUGAUUAAUAUCUGUAUAAUUAAUUCAUUUAAACACAAAACGAAUAAAUAUAUAUAUAUGCAAAUAAAUAUGAUUAACAUAAAUAUAUACAAGAAUACAAUUAAAAAAUAAAUAAUUAUAUAUUAUUUAUAAUUUAAUAAAUUUGACAUAUUAAUAAAAUAAAAAGUACUUACAUAUUAAAAAAUAAAACAUUUAAUACUAAUUUAAUAUGUAUUUAAUAUUUAUUUUUAAUUUUUAAUAUAUUUACAUAAUUAUAUUAAUUUUUAACAUCAAAUUCAAAUGAUAAACUAUUAAAGAUUAAAAAAUAAAAUAAUAAAGAAUUAAAGAUUAAAAAAUAAAAUAAUAAAGUAUAAGACUAAUAUUAAUAUUUAUAUUAUAUUUAUAUUAUUAAUAUAAAAAAUAAUUUUAUAAUAACUGUUAAAUGAGUAUCAUAACUAAAUGAGUAUCAUAAUUAAUUUUAUAAUAAUACUUGUCACUUAUACCAUUCAAGAAGUAAAGAUUUGGUGUCCUAGUUUAUGUUCGUAAUUGAUAAACGUUUGAUUUUUCAUUUGAAUAACCCUUUUGAUUAUUUUAUUUUUGGUUAAAUAAAUAUUUAAUUUUUGAAUUUUAUUAUUUUUGUCACAUUUAUCUCUAAAGAAUUUUUUUAUCAUAUUGUUACUUGAAUUUUCAAAUUUGUUAUUACAUUGGUAUUUUGGAUUAUUGUCGUUAAUCCACAUUAUUAACGUAACAUAAACAUUUAAUAAGAUGUUGAUACGUGUACUAAAAAUUUAGUUAAUAUUAUAUCAUCAAUGUCACAUAAUAAUUAAAAAAAAACUUAAAAAAAAUUUUUUUUUUCAAAUUCAAAAAAUUUUAAGAAUCUACAAAAAAUUCUAAAAGAUUGUUUAAAAUCCCUAAAAUUCUAAAAAAAAAUUUAAGAAAUUCAAAACAAAAAUUCUAAAACUUCUAAAAUUUUGAAAUUUUCAAAAAAAUUUUAAAAAAAUCUAAAAAAUCUAAAAAAAUUAAAAAUUUUUGAAAAUUUUAAAAAAUUCUAACAAAUUUUCAAAAACUCUAAAAAUUCUAAAAUAAAUUCAAAAAAUUUUAGAAAAUUUUUUAAUUUUUAUUUGUUUUUAGGUUUUUAAAAUUUUUAAAAAUUUUUGAAAAAAUUUUUAGAAAUUUUUAAUGUUUUUUGUUAAAUUUUUUUAAUUUUUUUGAAUUUAUGAAAAAAAAUUUUACAAUUUUUUUAAUUUUCUUUUUUAUACUAAUGUGGCAUUGAUGUAUGGCAUUGACUAAAAUUUUUUUAUAUGUGUUAGCAUUUUAUUGGAUUUUGAUGUUAUGUUUGCAAAAUCAACUAACAACGUUGGUCUAAGGUACUAACAUAAUAAUAAAUUUAAAAAUUUAAAUACAAAUAUGAUAAAAAAAUUUUAGAUAAUAAUGUGACAAAAAAUAUAAAAUACCAACUAUGUGUUUAAUCUUUUGCUUUUUUGUCAAUCAUUCCCUUGAUUGUUAGAUAGGAACAUUUAACAUUUACUAUUGCAUGAAAGGAUCGAACUUACGACCCUAUAGUUAAUAACCAUAUAUUUUAACUGAUUGAGCUACUUUUUUUAUAUUUUAUCUCUUAAAUCUUAUAAAUAAUUAAACAAAUUAUUUAAAGCAUUUUUUAAAUAAUAUGGUCUAAAAAAGUGACGGGUAUUAUUUAAGACAAUUUUUUACAAAAAAAAAUAGCCUUAAAUAAUCUCCUUUAAAAAAUAUUAAAGAUUAUUUAAGGUAUUUUUGAUCAAAAACACUUAAAAUAAUCUCCUUUUAAAAAAAUAUUAGAGAUUAUUUAAGGUAUUUUUUACUUAAAACACUUUAAAUAAUCCCUUUUAAAAAAAUAUUAAAGAUGAUUUAAAGCAUUUUUUAUAAAAACGCUUUAAAUAAUGUGUUUUAAAAAAUUGAAGAGUAUUAUUUAAUGUGUUUUAAAUAAUCCUCUUUAAAAAAUAUUAGAGAUUAUUUAAAAUAAUUUUGGAUCAAAAAUGCCUUAAAUAAUCUUCUCAUAUUUUUUAAAUGACAUUUAUUUAAAGCAUUUUUAAACAAAAAAAUGUUUUAAGAAAUCUCUUUUAAAAAAAUAAAAUAGAUUAUUUAAAGUGUUUCCCAACCAAAAUUGCCUUAAAUAAUCAUCAAUAUUUUUUUGUUGAUGAUAUUUUAUAAAAAAAAAUAGCAAUCAAAUAAAAUAUUUAUCUUUUUUUACUAUCAAAGAUAUUAUUUAUCAUUUGGGUAUUUAUUAUUAAUAAAAACUAAUAAAAUUUUGCCAUCAUAUAUGUUAAGCAAAUUAUUGUAAUUAUUCAUGAAUUAAUAUAUGUAGAUUUUUUUCAAUCAAACAAGUGAAUUUGAAUACAGGAUGCCCUAAAAAUAGAAGAAAACUUCAGGUAUCUCACUUCUUUGAAAAUCACACUUUUUUUCGGAAUCAAAAAUUUUACGAACCAAACGCCUUUUUAAUGAUUUUUUUUGGCCUGGACUAAUACACGGAUGAAUAUAUAUAUACAUGUAUGUAGUUUUCUUAGUUUCAUUGUGCAUUUAAAUUGAUUCCUAACAGGAUAAAGCUUGUGUGAGGGUAUAUAUUUUUAAAUAGAACUUUUCUUAUAAUUUUUAAUGUUAAUUUAUUAAUUAAAAGUUAAAUUUUCAUAUUAUUUAAGUUUCAAAUAUUUAGAAUAUUUUAUUUUUUGGGUAAAAAAGCUAUUAAAAUUAUAUUUUUAAUUAAUUGAGCCUAUCAGAUUUAAUAAUUUUAAUAAUUUCAUUUGAUUAUGUAAUUUUUAAAAAAUUUUGAAAUAAAUAAAAAUUUAAUCAAUAAUGGAAUUUAAGAAAAUUUAUAGGUGUGCAAUAUUCUUGGGAAUUUCUAUUUUAGAAAAUUUUUUUAGAUUUCAUUAAAGUGUUGAAGAAUUUAGAAAAUAAUUUCAAUAUCAAUAAUUUUUAUUUAUUUUCAAGAAAAUGAUAAAAUAUUGAAAGAUAAAUGUUUAAAAGUUAAUAAAAAUUAGAAAUUAAUUUUUUUACAAAAUAUUUAAUGAAUCCAAUAACAAAACUUCUUCAAAAAAACAAACAUAUUUUCUUAAAUACUUUUGAAGUAAGAGAAAUAUUUUAAGGAUUCCACCAAAGUGUUAGAAAAAUCAUAAGAAAAUUUUCAACAUUUAAAUAAUAGAAUAUUAAUAAAUAAUAAUUUUAAAAUAAAAAUCAUUUUAAUUAAGGCUAAAAAAGAUAAUAUAUGAUUAUUUGAUAAUGUGUUUAUUUGACGUUGUGAGAUUCUAAUAUCUUUCUCUCAAGUAACUAAUUCCUAAAUAUAUAUUUUAUGUAGAUCAAAAUUUAUUUUUUUAAAAAUAAAUUUAGUCAAGUUUAAAAUUAAAAAAAAACAAAAAAAUUUGAUAAUCAAUUACACCUAAUAAAAAAAUUGAUAACGAUAAUUUUUUUUUUUUUUACAUUUAACACUCGAGCUUUUAGACUUAUAUAUAUUACGACAUAUAUGCAAUUAUUUUAGUACACUAGUAGUGGUAUUGGACUUCUGACUCUUCUAGAUUAGAUAUAUUUGUCCACGGACUUUUGGCAGCCUAGGAGAAAUUUUUCUAAUUAUAGAAAAAUUAGAUUGUGAUAAAAUAUGCAUAGAUAUGAAAAUUAAUUUUUUAAAAAAUUAUAUUAAAAAUUUUUAAAUUUAUAACAUAUAAAAUUUAUAUGUUUGUUUGUAUACCAUAAUAAUAAAAAAAUAUAUUAUCAUAAAUGGGUUAUAAUUAAGUAAAUUUAUAAAGAUUGAAAAAACAAGUAAAAGUUAAAGUUAAAUUGAGCUAAUAGAGUGAAAAGUCAAAAAUAAAAAUAAAAAGUUUACUUAUAACACCCAAAAAUAUAAGAAAAAAUUUUAAUAUAACUUUACGCUUUGUAAUAUAUAUAUAAUUAAAGUUAAAGACAAAUCACUUACCAUAAAACUAUUACAAAAGAAAAAAAAAUACAUAUAUAACUUACAACUAGAUCCUAUUCUAUUUAUGGCUUGUUUUAUCGUUUAAAAAAAUGAUUUAAUUCUUGUCAAAAUUUCUCUUUUACCUGUGAUUUAGUUUCUCUUUUAUCAAAAUGUGAUUUUUGGGAUUGAAUGCCAAGAUGCUUCCCCAAUUUUCCAACAUUUCAAACAUGUUUCUAAAAAUUCUCCUGUUUUUUUAUUUUUUUUAUAUAUAAAAAAAAAUGUACUAACUACAUCUAUUGGGCUCAAGGCCCAAUCAUUAAUUAAAUAGCCUAAACAAUUGAUCAUUUCAUAGCACGAUCGUCCAAAUUGAUCCAAUAGAUAUCUCGAAGGUCUAGAAGUCCAAUACGGAAUCCAACUCGGAUUUGAAUAAAUCCAAAAAAAAAUAAAAUAAUUGGAUUAAUUAUUUGGACUUAAAAAAUUAAAAUUGUCUUGACAAUUCAAUUAAAAUUUUGGAUAAAAUAAAGUGUUUAUAAUUAAGAUAAAAUUAAAUUUGAUAUUUUUAAAUUUAAAAUAUAGAUAUCUAAAUUAUUAAAAAACUAAUUUUAAAAAAAAGAUAUAUAUUUAAAUUAUAUAUUUAAUUAUUAAAAAAUUAAUUUUGGAUAACUAACAAUUUUUUAAUUUUUUAUUUAUUUGAUAAAUACCAUAAAAUUAUUAAUAAAUUAGUUUUAGAAGAUAAAAAGAUAUAUAUUUAAAUUAUAUAUAAAUUAUUAGAAAAUUAAUUUUGGAUAACUUAUUUUUUUAAUAUUUUUAUUUAUUUGAGAUUUUAAAAAAUAAAAGAUAUAUAUUUAAAUUAGAUAUAUAAAUUAUUAGGAAAUUAAUUUUAGAUAACUAAUAAUUUUUAAAUACUUUUAUUUAAUUGAUAAAUACCAUAAAAUUAUUUAAAAAAUUAAUUUUAUGAGAUAAAAAGAUAUAUAUUAAAUUAUAUAUGUGCAAAUUAUUAAAAAAAAUUAAUUUCGAAUAACUAAUAAUUUUUAAAUGUUUUUAUUUAGUUGAUAAAUACUGUAAAAUUAGAAAUUGUCCAUUAGUGCAAGUGUAGAUAAGAUUGUAUCUUAUCAAAAAAUUAAGGUAUGUAUGUGAUCCAAAUAGUGUUUUCAUUGAACUUUACCUAGUGGAUUUUUCAUAACAAUUAAUUUUUGCUUGUUUUUAUAUCAUAAUAAAAACGGUAUUAUCAUAGGUGGGUCCAAGUAGAUUUAAAAUAAUUAUAAAAAAGUUAAAGUUAAAGUUAAAUUAAAAAAAAAAAUGACUUGAUUGAGUGAAAAGUUAAAGGUAAAAAUAAAAAGUCUACAUACAACAUUUACAAAAUAUAAAAAUAAAUGUUAUUAUAACUUUGCACUUUAGAAUAUAUAAAAAAAGAAUCAAAGUUAAAAACAACCUACCGUAAACACCAAUAAAAGAAAAAAUGAAUCAAAGUUAAAAUAAAUGAUUUACCAUAAACACUUACAAAAAGAAAAAAAAUACUUAUGUAAUUUACACUUUGUAAUAUAAGAAGUAGAAAAAAAGGAGAUGCAAAUAAAGAUCGAGAACUAAAUACCAUAUAAAAUUUAUAUUAAAGAAUAAGUUAUUUCUAAAAUUUACAAAUUAUUAAGAGAUUAAACUUGGCCUUUUUUAAUAAUAAAAGAUUAUUCUGAAGUUUAUUAAGAUAAAAUUAAGUUUGAUAUUUUUAAAAUUUUAAAAGAUAUAUAUCUAAAUUAUUAAAAAAUUAAUUUUAAAAGAUAAAAAAUAUAUACUUAAAUUAUAUAUCUAAAUUAUUAGAAAAUUAAUUUUUGAUAACUAAUAAUUUUUAAAUACUUUUAUUUAUUUUAUAAAUGUUAUAAAAUUAUUAGAAAAUUAUUUUUAGAAGAUAAAAGGAUAUAUAUUUAAAUUAUAUAUAUGUAAAUUAUUAGAAAAUUAAUUUUAGAUAACUAAUAAUUUUUAAAUGUUUUUAUUUAUGUGAUUAUUUUUAAAAGAUAAAAAUAUAUAUAUUUAAAUUGUAUGCAUCUGAAUUAUUAGAAAAUUAACAUUGUUUAUAUAAUUUUAAGAUUUCUAAUUUUAAAAUUAUCCAAUUGUAAUUAAAAAAGCUAUACUCUUUAAAAAUUCAUACGUGUCAUAUAAAAAAGUUGUCUAUAUAAACAUUCAUUUGACAAACCUUAUCAUAUAUUUGUAUAUUUUAUAAUAAUAUAUAUAUGUAUAUAUAUGUAUGAUUUGCUCCUGUUGCUUCUUGUUAAUUAAUUUGAAGUUAAAAUGUAAAAAAAGUCUUUGAAUAAAAACAUAAUAAUAAUUUAAGCUUAUGAUAUUUUAUUACAAUUAAUCAAAUUUGAAUUUUUUAUUUUGAUUAAGUUGAAUCUUUAAACAUAUAUUUUUUAACCAAUUAAACCUUUAAAGAACUACUUUCACCUUAAUUGAAUCUUUGAUUAGAAGAAUACGAUUGUUGACGAUUAGUCAAUUUUUAUUUAAUAAGAACUUAAUUGGUAAAAACAAAUGUUUGAUAGCUUAAUUAAUUGUCAUAAAACGAAAAUGACUUAGAUAAUUAAUAAAUUUUUGUUCAAAAGUUUUUUUUAUACUUUAACCUUGCUUUUACUAUUCUUUAUUUUUUGUCAUUUACUUUUUAUUAUUUGGGAAAAAAAGUAAUAUAUUUAAAGACAAAAAAGUAAAGUAAGAAAUCAUAAUGGAUUAGAAAUUGAUAAAUAUUUACAAUACGUGACAUGUAAGCAUAACAUAAUUAAUUAAUCUCCGCAUAUAAAAAAAGUAAAAUAAUAUUUUUUUAUCUAGAGUUACAUAUUUUGCAUAUAAUUAUGUAAUAAUAUUAUUUAUUUUUUAUUCGAAUGCACCUGUUUACUUUUUAGUGUUGAGAAUAAAAGACCAAUAACAAAACCAAUAACUAAACAAAACUUAUGCAAUUGAAAAAAAUAUAUAUUAAUAUUUUAUUCUCAUAACAAACCAUAAGCUACUUUUGCCUUUUACAAUAUUCAUUUCUCAAUAAAUAAAUAAAAAUCACCUGAUGUAAAUGAACAGAACCGACUAUCAUGAGCUCAAACAUGAAUUGAACUGAAGCCAACAUUACAGAUCUCUAACCUGCCAUCCUUCACAUUUUCACGUGCGGCGGAUUCUCCAUUUUUAGCAAGGAAUUUUCUCUUUCUCAUGUUUCCAUAUUAACUUGUAAUCAUUUUUUUGCACAUAAAGUAUAAUUUUACAAAAAUAUUUUUAUAAAAUUUACAAAUAAGUUUUAAUCUACAUUAUGCCUACUUUUAAUAAAAUAAAUGGCGGUAAAUUGUGAUUUUAUUAGUGUAAAAAGAUAUUAAAAUUAACAGUAAUUAAUUUGAUCAAAAUAAAAUUAGCUCUUGUCAAUCUUUUUACCAAGUUUAUUCACGAACAAUUAUCAAAUUAUUUUGAAUAUAAACAAGUCAGUUUGUCUAUGUUCAAAUUCGGUUUAUUAUUAAUUGAGUUUAAAAAUAUUGUUUGAACAAGUUUAUUAAAUUUCACAAAUAAAUGCAAACAAGCUCUUGUAUAAUAUCAAAAAAAAAAAAAAUACAAACAAGUUGUUAUAUAAUCAACUUCUUUGUUGAAAGAAAUCUGAUGAUCUUGAAAUUGAAACGGUGGUAAAUUGAUCAAAGUUUUUACUAUGGCUCGAAGAUGUGGUUGAUUUCUAAUUUAAGGCAACUUUCUAGCACUAUUGAUUUGAUGAAAAUUUGACAAUAUAAAAAUUUUACUUCUAAAUUAUUGUGAUCAAAUUUUUAAGAUAUUCCUUGAUCCAAACGCAUUAUUAUCAAAAUAAAUGGUUCUAUGAUCUCACCGAACAUUUGUAAUUUGGUAAGGCAACUUUAGCAAACUGGCUUUGAUAUUGUAUACACAAAGGAAAAGUUAAAUUAUGCUAGUUCCUAUACUAUACACAAAAUACAAAUUUACUUCUUAUACAUUAAUUUCAAUAUAUGACAAGUAUAUGUAUUUUUUGCAAUUUUAAAUUUUCAUCCAAUCAAUAACAAUUUGUUUAUUUUUUUCGUCCAAAUUGAUAACAUGUCACAUUAACUAGGUGAGGUGGCAUUGACUCGAUAAUGUGGGUUAAAAGAUUGAUGAAUGACCUAAUUUUUGCCGCUUAGGAAUUUCCUUAUAUUUUUUCUUUAUUUCUUCCUAUUUAUUUUUCUUCUUUUUCUCUCUAAGCCUCACUCUCUCUACCUCUUAAGCACUCCUGAACGUAAACAGCCACCCACCAACAACUAUAGAAUUUGAUGUUGAGCCACUGGCAUCGCCGCCAUCAUCAUGUCGGAAAUAUCCUAGAAGUUACUCAAAAAUUUCUCUUGACCUUUCAUAAUUUUCUACUGACUUUAGAUUUUUCAAAAAAACCCAUAUAAAGCCUAGAUCUAAAGCCUAACACUGUGGCUCCUCUACCCAAAAAUACCCAUUUCCACUACUCGAAAAGGCUUAAGUUUUUACUAUGUUUGUUUGCUCCAAAUUUUCUCACCUAGCUCAGUCAAGUUCACUGACAAAAUCUCAAAUUUCAUCGAUUGUAAAAACGUAUACAAAAUCAAACUCCAAGGUAAUUUUAUAAAUGGAAGUAUCUCCUAGGACAUUGAUCAUUGUGAAAAUCUCUUGUAUUUGAACUGAAGCCGUAAUUUGUUUACUGGAAUAAUUUCAUGGGAAAUAUUAAUGCUUCGUUCAAUAAUAGCUGUUAAUUUUUCCCAUAAUUUGCUCACUGCAAUUCGGGGCCAUUUGACCUCCAUACCAUGUCAAUCCAACAUAGGUGUCGACUAAGGCUGCUGCAGGACUGUCACGCGUUAGCGAAAUAGCAUCGUGUCUUUGAGGACUUCUUUGGCAAUUGAAGGUGAACUUACAACUAUCCAAAUCUUCCUUCCGAGCUGAAGUUUGAUGAUGGGGCCAUAGAUUUGAGAGAGUUUAGUAGCGUAUUGAUGAAAUCAGGUUGGAUGAAAGGAAGGUUUCCUAAUAUAGGCAAGCCUGG